GGGGUUCACGUGAUAGGGAAUAAAUUAUUGUUGCAGGUGAGGCCCACACAAAAAAAAAAUGAAAGAAAGAGGGAGGGAGCACGUGACAAAAGGGGAUUCAUUACUUUUAUAUAGGGCAAUACAGAUAAUGAUACAAAAAGGAGAGGCAUAUGAGAGAAUCAGGGGAUUGAGCCGCAAAAACAAAUGAAAAAAAAAGACCUAGAAUAUAGGAACCUACAGCCACCAUAACAAAAAGAAAAAAAGAGGGGCCGCAGGAGAUCUUUCUUUUUUUCUUUUUAGUAGCUAAAACGUGUACUCAAGAAUGAUAUAAAACUAAGAAAACUCAGUACACCAAAAAACCAUAUAAGCAGCUCACCCUUUUAACUCCAAAAAAAAAAAAAAUCAGCCGCCACCUCCUUGGCUAAAAAAAACACCCUACCCAAAAGAGAGAUCUCCUUUGCUAAAAAGAAAAACCAUUGAGCAACUUUAAGUUUUCUGUAGGAAAUUAGAGCAGCCCCAAACCAAAAAAUAUAUACGCACAACAACCCAUGUGAAGAGAGAUACAUCACCAUGUAAGCUCCAUCAAAAACACCAUUUUCACUAUCGUUUCACUUUUAAGUGUUGAAAAAUCGUGGUGGGUCUUGUUCGAGAUUCCUAUUGGCGUUAAUGGUCUGUUGAGGAUUUUCUUGCUGCUUCGUUUUCUCUGUAUCAAAAGAGUUUCGAAGUUAUAAAUAUUAAGGUCCAAUUCUUUAGUUCUCUCUUCAAUUUAUGUCCUGUUAAAUUUAUAUCUGCGAUUUCUUGGAGUGUUGCCUCGUUUGUAAAUUCUCGUGAUUAGUUUGGGUGAUUAAAUAUUUCAUUAUGAAUGGGGGAAUGUUUCAGUAGUGAUUUUAAACAUCAUUGUUGUUUUAUUGCUGGAAAAAAAUAGGAAUUCAUUGGAGAUGAAUAAUGUGCAUAAGCUAUGGUUUAUACUUAUCAUUAGACCGUGGUUGUUGGGUUGUAAAUAAGAUGACUUGGGUUCCAAUGUUUUUUUUUUUAUUAUAACAAUAAAUGGCUUUGAGCUUCUUUAAACAUUAAUGGGAAUCUUAAUUAAAUGGAUUUGGGACUAUUUAGUACCAUUACUCUGUUUUCGGUUUUCCUCUUAUUUUCAUCGUUAGUUACUGCCUCCUAUUUAUUUAAAUGGCUAGAAUCAUAUAAUCUUGUUUAAUGAUCUUUGAUGAUUAGCUGUAUCAUGUUAUUAGUAAAUUGCAAGUAUUUGUUUUUACUUGGAAUUCUUGUUCUGGAGUUCAGGAUAUUAUAAUAUACUUAGUUAGGCAAAUUUUAAUUGGCAGUGAUUGGGUUCAAGAAUUAAAUGAUCGCGGAUUGAGAUAAGAAAAGAAUAAAUUUGGGUCUUUAUUACUAUCAUUAAUUGGGCCAGCCAUGACAUAGUAGGCCCGAUAUUUAAUUAAUUUUUAGUGCGGGAUGAGCGAGACGAGAUGCAAAUUUAUUUCCAUACCGUUGUCAAGUAUAAAAGAAAAGAGCGGAAAAACCAAUUAUAGGGGAGCGAGAUGGGUUGCGAAUUUAUUCAAAAUUCAUUGUCGAAAGAGUGAAAAUUAAUCAAUAAUUUUAAGUCUCGGAUUUUAGAGACAAAUAAUUGUCUUUAACGCUAGACGAGCUUUAGGCGCGUUUUAAGACGUUUGUUUCGAUUAAGAAUGCGGUUACGCAUCUUAUUUCGAGACGUUUUUUUUUAAACUCAAGGAUGCGGUUACGCACCUUGGCCGAAAUCGUUUUAAUAAUUAAUUUUGUUUCGAAUAAGAAUGCAGCUACGCAUCUUACUUUGAGACGCUUAAAAGAUUAGGAAUGCGGUUACGCAUCCGAGUUAAAACCAAUAAAAAGUUCAACAAUAAAAGGUACGAGCAGAUCAAGGCUCAGAUACGUAAUAUAUCCAAAAAUUAAUUUAAGCUAAGUAUAAGUCGAUAAAGCGACCGUGCUAGAACCACGGGACUCGGGGAAUGCCUAACACCUUCUCCCCGGUCAACAGAAUUCCUUACCCGGUCUUCUAUUUUCGCGGACCAUAAUAAAAGAGUCACUUCCUUUUGAUUAGGGAUUCAUAAGGUGGCUUGGAACACCAAAACUCAAUUCCAAGUGGCGACUCUGUAAAUAAAAUAUUCCCUUUUCAAAACCGUCACUUCAAAUGGAAAAACCCUUUAAUAAUAAAAACUUGCGCGGUUAUAGCGCGGGAGCGCAAAAAAGGGGUGUGACAACAGUCAGAUAUUUGUUAUGUUAGUCUUGUUGACAGUUAUGCUCAGUUGUUCAGUUGUUUUGGUUUAGCCAUGUUGGCUACUUUCAGAUAUUUUCAGAUUGUCUAAGUAUUUCCGCAUUAUGAUAUUUCAGUCAGACUUUUAGUUAAUCAGCAUGUGUUAGUUUUAUUUUAUAAUUCAGUUAUGUUUUGGUAUCACAUGUUGAUUCAGCCAGCCAGUUGGUUCCCUCGGUCACAUACAGUCAGGCACCGGGUGCCGUGUUACGUCCAGGCCCAGGUUCGAGGCGUGACAUUAGGUUCUUUGGUUGAAAUUCAUUUAGGAGGAUUUAGGUUUCAUAUACCUAAGUUUACCUAUAGAUUUCAUUACCAAUUGGGUCUAGUAUCUAUUCUUCUAUUUUCUCAUCCCCAAUUUCCUAUAUCCUUUUUAUUUCCUUUGUUUUGUUAAUUCUUAGAGUUUCCCUAGGUUGAUUGUUAUCAGAUAAUGUUGAUGAUAAAUUGGGAGUCAGUUUCCACUUCUCCUUCACAGUAACCAUUGUUGAUGCACCAUUGAAUUCCAUGGAGUAUAGCCUUGGCUUCAGCAAUAUUAUUGGAGCAGUGGAUGUAGUAAUUGGUAAAAGCCAUAAUUAUGAAGCCAGAAGAGUCCCUAAGAAACCCCCUCCACCUGCAUUACUAGGAUCACCUUUACUGCAACCAUCUAUGUUGAGUUUGAAUCUUCUAGGAUUGGGUAACUCUAUCUGAGGCAUUUGAUGUUGAUUUUUGGGUUUGAGAUUCUCAAUGUGAUAAUAGAUUGGAAUCCAUUCCUGUUCAAACUGGAUAGUAGGGUAUUGGGCAGUGAUCAACAACUUGAAGAAGUGAAUGACUUGAGAAAUAAUUCCCUGGUAGUACUUUUGGUGUCGUCAAACUUGUGACUGCCUCAAACUUUUAGCACUUAAAAGUAUUUUAAGCACUUAUGCUUAAAAGUCACUUUUUUCGGCUAAUCCAAACGGGCUCAUAGUAUAGAUUAAUCAUAAUUUUGAUCAAUUCAGUAUUAAGAAGUAUACCAGCAGCUCAACUGUUACCACCUAUUCAAGUUGGCCUUUAUUCACAGAAAGUGUUUACUUAUUACAGUCCAAUAGUUAUUGCACCUUGCUCAUUGUCACACAUAAAAUUAAUCCUAGGACUUUUAUUUUAUUCAUUUAUCCUUUUCAAACUAUAAUCAAUUAAAGUAAAUCUAAAAUUCCAACAUUUCUAAUUUGUUAUAACUCGUACAAUCAGAGACGAAUCUAGGAUUUCAAGAGGAUGAAUUCACAUUAGAAUUAAAAAAAAAAUGCUAAAGUGCAUUUAGUAGAGUUUGAAGAAGUGAAUGACUUGAGGAAUAAUUCCCCUAGUAGUACUUUUGGUGUCAUCAAAUGUUAUAUCCCGUAUUUUGCACAUUCGGAUAUUUCAAGAUAACCGCGAUAAGUUAAGGUGGGGCCCACAUGUCGGGAUUUUAUAAAGGACAUAUGAAGAGAUAUAUGGGUAUUACAUGUGAAGUUGAGCAAGUCCUAAGAAGGACCCAUAAGCCAAAAAUGAGUGUAAGCCCUCCAAAAGGACGAUCUAAGAAAACGUUUUCGGAUGAUCCGACUUCGAGGGGCUAAAGCGCUAUUAUACGUUCGGAAUUUGGAAAAACUCAAAGAAUGAAAGUUGUAGAUAAUUGAAUUACCUUUCCAACCAUAUGUCGUGGGCCCUCAUACGAUGUCGGGAUCAAAAGUUAUGGCCAUUUUAAGAGCAAGACCUUAAGCUGCCAAAAAACAAAACAAAAAACUCCGCGGGCCCCACAUGGGGAGGUCGGUGAAACCGACCUAGGGAGGUUAUAAAUACCCCAUAAGUCUCAUAUUUUCAGCAUAUUAACACUCCAAAAACUCCUAGAAGCCUCUUAAACAUCUCCCAAAUAUUAUAGUCCGAUAAAUCAAGAAUUUAACAAGAUUACGCCAAACUAGUCCGUGAAAGGUGAUUAUUCUUGCUUCUACUUACGCUUGGUGUUGGAAAAAGGUUGAUGUGGCUGAGUUUCUUCAAAUAUGAGACUAGCGGUAGCAAGCUUGGACAAUUAAGCGUAGCUAAUAGGACGCGGAACAGGUACACCCAGACGAGUAGAGGCUAUGAUAGAAGAUGUUCCAGCGGAGUUGGCAAGCUCCACUUGCUCCUGGAGUGCUGUCGAGUCAGAGUAUAUGUGUUAUGAUGUCUGAGUAAUGUUAGAGACUUUGCAGACAGAGUCGUGGGCAUAGAGUGUCGAUAUUGUAAGCGGCUCCACCAGCCGAUAUGUUAUUAUGUUUCGUAUCACGAAUCUCAUGUGAUGAUAGAUUUUACUUGAUUUGAGUACAAUGAAAAGAAAAGUUCUGAAGGCUU